rnacentral:lncRNA from 1 species
AUUUAAUAUUCUUUUGUUAUUUAAAUAUGAGUGAAAAGAGACAAAACAAAGAAAACCGUUAGAGUAACAAAAAAAUGCAAAUGGUUGACAUUAGAGAAGAAACUCAUGAGAAUGGUGUUUUGUUUGCUAAAAUAGCAUGUGAAAAUUCAAUGAAUGAGUCAUCUGUACAAACAAUUAUUCAGAGCAAAGAAAAGAUUAAACAACAUGGAAUGAGCACUGCUUCUUAUAUGCGAAAAAUGAUCACGAGAAAUCAAUCUUCUGCAUUAAAAAUAUGGAAUGCUUUCUAAUGAUCUGGAUUGAAGGAAUAUUUUUGUUUUGUUUUCUACAACUUUUAUAUUGGUUUAAAAGGAUUUUAUUUGUUAUUUAGGUUAAUA